GGUCGGUUAGCUCAGUUGGUUAGAGCGUCGUACUAAUACAGAAUUCCAUUGUACUAAGUAAUGCGAAGGUCAUGGGUUCGACCCCCAUACUGACCA